rnacentral:hammerhead_ribozyme from 1 species
AUCUGGCUGAUGGGUCAAAAAUAGGACGAAACGCGCGUCUUGGAG